AGUGAACGCUGGCGGUAGGCCUAACACAUGCAAGUCGAACGGCAGCACAGUAAGAGCUUGCUCUUACGGGUGGCGAGUGGCGGACGGGUGAGGAAUACAUCGGAAUCUACUUUUUCGUGGGGGAUAACGUAGGGAAACUUACGCUAAUACCGCAUACGACCUACGGGUGAAAGCAGGGGAUCUUCGGACCUUGCGCGAUUGAAUGAGCCGAUGUCGGAUUAGCUAGUUGGCGGGGUAAAGGCCCACCAAGGCGACGAUCCGUAGCUGGUCUGAGAGGAUGAUCAGCCAAACUGGAACUGAGACACGGUCCAGACUCCUACGGGAGGCAGCAGUGGGGAAUAUUGGACAAUGGGCGCAAGCCUGAUCCAGCCAUACCGCGUGGGUGAAGAAGGCCUUCGGGUUGUAAAGCCCUCUUGUUGGGAAAGAAAAGCAGCAGGUUAAUACCCCGCUGUUCUGACGGUACCCAAAGAAUAAGCACCGGCUAACUUCGUG
rnacentral:rRNA from 1 species